AAUUUUUAAGCAGGUAGCUGCUUUUUUGUUAGUUAAUAUUUAAUCUGAUGCUUCAAAGGUCAUUGAAAACCAGUUAAAAUGUUACCCAACAAAUGCUCUGGUUACUUCUAAUGAUGUUAAAAUGUAAAUUCCUAGCCUUCCUGUGGAAGAGGGUUCCUUUGAAAGCAGUGGACUUCCGGUCCAGGGUAUUGGACUAGCCUAGCAUUGUUUCAGACAGGGUAUCCUGUAGCCUUGGGACUCUGGGUGCUCAGAGGUGGCUUACUCCUCAGCAGGAGGGGGUUUCAUACGCAAUCCAGCUAUUUCUGUAAGAGAAUCCUUGCAUCUCCAUGUACAGAAUGUUGCUAGACUUAUGAACAUCACGGUGCUUCUGGUGAAGUCUCAGAUGGGAGGAAGAACAUGUUAUUGGACACUAAAGGAGAGGUGACAUUGUUAUAAAGUAGCAGAGAACUGGAGUGACUUGGGUUGUGUCAUUGGAAAGAAAGUAAGCUUGUAACUGACAAUGAACUUGGGUAUGUGGAGAUUUCCAAGUAUGAUGUGGAAGGUGCAGCCUGAUUUCUCCUUGCUGUUUAUAGUAAAAUGUGAGAAGAGAGAAAGAAAUUGAAGCAGGCACCGCUACACAGAAAGGAGUUGGCACCUGGCAACUUGGAGAGUUCUUAGCCUCUCUAGACAGUGCACUACAGACAUAGCCAAGAGUGUGGCUUGACAACUGUUUGCUAAAUAAAUGAGGUGUGUGACUCAUGGAUCUACUCAGAGGUCUCAGCUGAAGCUAGGAAGUGAGAGGCAGUUGUUCAGGAAAGAUCUGUGGACGAUCCUCUGGUCUGGUGUCUUGGAUCCCUUUGAUUGCAAGGGAGGCUGACAAGGUUUUUGAGUUCUAUAGCAGAAACAUUUCCAGUCUGGACUGAAAGGCACAGAACAAAAUUAAUGAAGAAUAACUUAAAGGCCAGAGCCUUGGGUGCAGAGGCUUGGGUCAACAGGACCUCCUCAUGUAGGCCCACUGCCCCAGUGGCCCAACUGGGUGGGACUGCUGCCCCUUGGGCCCAGAGAAAGAAGCAUCAGAGCUUAGAGCACUGUUCUCAAGCCUUAGAAUCUAAUGGGAUUUUCCCUCCUAGGUUUUGGAUUUGGCUGGAAUUCAUGACCUCUUUUCUCUUCCCAGAUUCUCCUUUUUGGAAGGAAAAUAUCUAUCCUAUGCCUAGAUAUUGUAUUUGGUAAGCACAUAACUGUUUCUGAUUCCAGAAGUCCAUAUUUGGAGAGAAAUUUUGGCCCAGAAUGAAUCAUGCUCCAAGCCUUAUCCAUAACUGCUUUGGAUGAUGAAAUUUGGGACUUUGAGGUGAUGAUAUUUAGAUGGCAUUUUGGACUUGUAUUCGAUGGGAGGAUAGUUAAGAGUUUUGAGGGUGUGGGGAUGGGAUGCAUGUACUUUGCACAUUGGGAGGACAUGAUUUUGGAGGGCUAGAGUUGACUGUGUCCCCCAGAAAGAUAUGUUUAAGUCCUAACCCCCAGUAAGUCAGAUGUCACCUUCCUGAAAACAGAGGCCUUGCAGAUGUCAUUAGUUAAGAUGAAGUCGUGCUGGAGUAGGGUGGGUCCUAAUCAAUAGCUAGUGUCCCUAUAAGAAAUGAAGAAGAGACACUGACACGUACAAAGCGAGAAGACAGCCAGGGGCAGAGAAUAGAGUGGCGUGAUACACCUACGGGACGGGAACGCUGAGGACUGAGGCCAACACUGAAGCCGGAGAUUCAAGGAAGAAUCCACCUUCAGGUUUCAGAGGGCACAUGGCCCUGUCUACGUCUUGCUUAGGACUUUCAGUCAUUAGAUUUAUGACACAAUAGAUUUUUGUUGUUUUAAUAUGCAUAGUUUGUGGUACUUAAUCACAGCAACUGUAGGCACUAAUACAGAUUCCAGUGAACCUGAUUUGAAUUUGUAUCAUUUGCACAAAAUGUGUGAUCAAUUAAUUGCCCAAGAAACACAAUAGGGCUGGGGAGGCAACUCAGUGAUAGAGGGCUUGCCUCCAUCUUCAGCACUGCAAAAACAUUAUUUUUCACUUAAAUCUGCUUUGUCCUGGUUUUCUCUUUCUAUAUUUCCAUUGUUGUAAAAAAGAGAUGGGACAGAUGAAAUUUUAUUUACAUGUGAGGUGAAAUCUUCCAGUUUAUUUUUGUAGCUGCCCAUAAAUAUCUUUAGCCAGGUAAUGGGCAUGAGCCAAUUCCCCACGUAAGCAUUUGAAAACUGAGAUGUCCUCCUAAGAGACUGCAAUGUAAGUUUUAAAAACUGAACGUUAUAGGAAAUGGAUAGAGUGGAUAAGGGGGUGUGUAACCCUUGCAGGUGCCCCAUCUUUUUAAGAAAAUUAUAAUUUUCAAAUAAAUGUUGUUAAUCUCUUUAUAGCUUAGUCGUUACUGUAUUUGUAAAUUUAGUUAAUAUUGAUUUCUCGAGGACACCCGUGUUUAUGGCUUUGGCUUCCCUUUAAAGUUUUCAGGUUGGGGAACAGUGCAUCAUGGUGGCAAUGAAGGUGUCUCUGGCGUGGGUGGUUGAUGCUGCUGGGGCGUAUGCGGCAGAUCCUCGCUGUCGGCCAACAGAGUCUCAUCACCCGUGGUGCUCAGGCAGCCUUUGAGGAAGGAGGAAGGAUGCAGGGAGGGAAGGAGGCUGUUUUUUGGGUAGUUGUGACAGAUUUGCUCUGACUCAUUUUAUCCAGUCUCCUUGGUCAUGAGCAGAACAGUGGCAUGGCUUGGCCAGAACCAAGAUUCGGGCUGGAGGGAACAUCCUGUCUCCAGUGUUAAAUGCAGGCUGCCUGAACAGGGUGUCUGCCUCUACUUCUCAAUGCAAAACCUGUUGUUUGCAACUGGCGUUAUCAGCAUAGAAAUUUUCUUUUAAGGAACGAUGAGGCCUGGAGAUGUGGCUCAGUGGUAGAGGCUGUGGGAAUCCCACAGUCCCCUUCAAAAGUGGCCCCCAGUGAUCUGGAGACCUCCCACUAGGCCACACCUCUUACAGGUUUUUCCGGAGUGGCAGUCUCAGCUCCUGGGGGAAGAGGCUACAUUCCACAGCUUGCUGCUCCAGAGAGUCACAUUGGUAUGAAAAUGGGUUUUGUUCCAAGUCAGAUCUGAUGGAAGUUAGAAUAAACUUUUUGUUUGAAAAGUUCCAUCUUUGAAGGCUCUGAGCUUGAGGAAAGUUUUUAAAAGAGAAAAGGAGGCAAGAUGGGACACAGAGCAGGAAAUACGCAUACUCAGCCUAGUUAGCUGGGCUGGACAGGCCGGGCAGCUGGCCAUCUCCAUUCUCAGCCUUCUUGGUGUCCCCCAGGCCAGCAGGUGAGGUGCAGCUCCUCAGCCUGGGGAUGAUGCUGUCAAUCUCAGAGGGGCCUCUAAUGCCAUUCUGCUUCAGUUUCACCACCUUCCAGGAGUGCCCUGGGCUGAGAACCAAGCCUUCAACACAUGGGCCUGAGGGAGACAUUCCAGAUUCAAUCUAAAGCACCAGGUUUCUUCUAGAGCCUUCUUUUGUUAUUCGUGGCAGUGUUACAAAGAAAUUGGCAGUGGGUAUUGUUGGAAAGGACGAAACUCAUACUGAGACUGAAAACACAGCUCAGAUUGAAACCUGCUGAACACCUGUCAAGUAGAGAAAUUGUAUUUGUGAACUUUGGAGCUUCCGACAGGCUCUGCCAAGCCUGUUCUCCCCCCUCCCCCCCUUAACUGAAAGCAAAAUGGCGCAGAAGUUAUUACCACUGCCACUGGGUGAGGAGCUCAUCCGCGAAUUUGCUCCUCAUCUGGAGGGCUUGUUUCCACACUGACGGGGGGCCCCAUCCUCAGUCACUUACCCCAUGGGACUUGGGACCAAGCAUCUUCACUUCUAACCAGUUCCCAGGUGAUGCUGCAGCCGUGGGGUCCUCACUUUGGGAGCCACCUUUAGAAAUUAGCAGUUUGGGCCACUGCUUAGGCUUGAAGGUUCUGCAGUCCCUUCAGCAUGGCUUCCCUUGAAGAUGACAGCAGAGGGCAGUGUUACAGCAUACGGGGAUGGGCUGCAGCCUGACCUCCCGCUCCGCUCCAUUCAGCCAGGGUUGUCCAGCUGGGCCAGCGGACACUUGCUUGGAUCCGUGGACUGGUUGUGUCUGUUUUGUUAAGGCAUGUUCCACGUAGGAAACCAAAGGAAUCAAAGAUUGGCUGCAGGAAGUGACAGCACCUGUCUCCUGACUGCAGCCCACGAAGCACCUGCUGAUCUGAAACCUUACAGACCCACUUGUGACCAGCAAAUGUUGUCCAGGGUUUCUUCUGGGAAGGCAGUAGAGGAAGAGGACCCUGGAGGAGGUGGUGUAAUGGUAACUUGAACUGCCAACUGAUAACAAAGCAGGGACCUUUCAAAGAGGUUUUGAAGUUUGCCAACCUACCAUAAGGCUCAUCUUCCCCUCCCUGCUCAGUGCCACCAGAUUUUAUCUUCUGCCUUUGAAUCACAAGACCUUUUCCUCCCCUGCUGACCAUGAAGUCAUGAGAGCAGGAGUGGAGGGAGGUGUGUGUGUGUGUGUGUGUGUGUGUGUGUGUGU